rnacentral:rRNA from 1 species
AACGAACGCUGGCGGCAUGCCUAACACAUGCAAGUCGAACGAACCCUUCGGGGUUAGUGGCGCACGGGUGCGUAACGCGUGGGAAUCUGCCCUUUGCUUCGGAAUAACAGUUAGAAAUGACUGCUAAUACCGGAUGAUGUCUUCGGACCAAAGAUUUAUCGGCAAGGGAUGAGCCCGCGUAGGAUUAGGUAGUGGGUGGGGUAAAGGCCUACCAAGCCGACGAUCCUUAGCUGUUCUGAGAGGAUGAUCAGCCACACUGGGACUGAGACACGGCCCAGACUCCUACGGGAGGCAGGAGUGGGGAAUAUUGGACAAUGGGCGCAAGCCUGAUCCAGCAAUGCCGCGUGAGUGAUGAAGGCCUUCGGGUCGUAAAGCUCUUUUACCAGGGAUGAUAAUGACAGUACCUGGAGAAUAAGCUCCGGCUAACUCCGUGCCAGCCGCCGCCGUAA